AAUUGUUGGGGCUCCAACUUACGGAAAUGCGACUGUAUAUACAAAUAACGUAUUUGGAAGCCCCUCCUACAACUUUGUUAUCGAACAACUGAACUGUUCUGGCAAAGAAAACGAUCUCCAAGAAUGUCAGUCCAAGCCUUGGUCAGGAACGUCGCAUAUGUGCAACUCCAGUAACACGGCUGUGGCGAUUAACUGCAGACCCAAUACACCGACGCGGCUACAAGGAAUUGAUCCCUCGAAUGGAGUGGUUGAAGUAUUUUUUGAUGCUGCAUGGUAUACCAUGUGUGGCUACAAUUUUGACUUUAAGGAAGCCGCUGUAGUUUGCAACAAACUGGGAUAUA